UACGUAGGGUGCAAGCGUUGUCCGGAAUUAUUGGGCGUAAAGAGCUUGUAGGCGGUUUGUCGCGUCUGCUGUGAAAUUUCGGGGCUCAACCCCGAACUUGCAGUGGGUACGGGCAGACUAGAGUGUGGUAGGGGAGACUGGAAUUCCUGGUGGUAGCGGUGAAAUGCGCAGAUAUCAGGAGGAACACCGAUGGCGAAGGCAGGUCUCUGGGCCAUAACUGACGCUGAGAAGCGAAGCAUGGGGAGCGAACAGG
rnacentral:rRNA from 1 species